rnacentral:lncRNA from 1 species
CUUCUUUUUCUUGGGAAUCAUUUCACCCAAAUCUCGUACUUCUUCUUCACUCUAAGCAUGCGGACAACAACGAACUGGCAAAAAUUCUCGGAGGAUAAAUGGUUCUCGGCUUGUAAUAUGAUCGUCUCAAACGUUGUGUACCGCAAAAAAUCUACCUCUUCCAGAUCUAGAGCGUCGAUUAUGGGUACAAUUCUCUUUGGUUUGUGGUAGGUAUUAAUCUUUUCGUCGACAACUCUUCCCCGUAAACAAACAAG